GCGCGCUUAGCUCAGUGGUAGAGCACAUCCUUCACACGGAUGGGGUCGUAGGUUCAAGUCCUGCAGCGCGCACCA
rnacentral:tRNA from 1 species